rnacentral:lncRNA from 1 species
AGUUGUCCAGGUUCUGGCGUCGCUGCGGGUGGCGAAACUGAAGUAGGCUAGGUCGACGGACUACCCAAGGCCAGAGAGUGUGGGCGGGAGGCCGUCGGAAUUCUGUGACUUUCUGGGGUGCAGGCAGCACAACGCUGUGCAGUGCCUGGACGGAAGCCAGACAGCAUUGCUAUGCACCGCUGGGCGGUCCCUAAGUUUCCAUGCCUGGUUGUUCUCAAGGUUUGCUCCGGAUCUGAUAGUCGCCCGUGACCCCUUUCCGCAGGUACAUGGCUUGUCUUGGGUUCGCGGUGGAACAUCCAAGUGCCAAGUUGGGUUGGCAAAACAGCUAAGGUGAAGGAGUUGGAGUCACUCGUGAGGAAUAUCUUUAGAGAACAGUCGGCUCUUCAGAACCAAAGAGCACAGGACUUUCAAGGACCCCACUAGUGUCUCGUGAGUGGUCCUGAAGCUCUCCGCCGUUUUGAGCUUAUGGCAGCGGUUUAUUGUAAGCCCUGGAGGUGCGCUGCUGUGCAAGCUGCAGGACUCUCCACAAAGUUUCUCAGGAUGACUACACAAACUUACUUAUGUGCUGCCUUUAGAGGACGUUGCCACAUUUCGCCCCUGGCGACAUUGUGGCAGAUCUUUUUCCUUCCCCAUUUCUGCUUUUUCCUGAGUUACUUGUCUUUUACCAUCGUCCCUCUUGGGUUGCACUGAUCAAUUUAGUUCCCUGUCUCCUCCUAGGGCUAUCCAGCAUGUAGUCGGGGGUCUACAAGGGACACAAGGAGAAGUGGGUUUGUUUGUUUGUUUGUUGCUUUUUUGUUUUUUUGCAGCCUGGCAGCCAGCCUCUGGAGCUCAUCUCACAUAAUGGCCUGCAAAUGUCGUUAUCAGGCACCAGAAAGCAGGGAACUCUUGCGACGGCUUCCAAGGAUACUGGAGACUCAGACAUCAUCUCAUGCUAAGCUGUUUGAGACAAACCACAAGUGAUCCCAGUCCUUGGAAGCUGGAGGCAGGCGAUCAGAAUUCCAAGGACUACACAGCAAGUUUGUGACUAGCCUGAGAUACAGGAGACGCUGGAGGCAGGCGGAUCAGAAUUCCAAGGACUACACAGCAAGCUGGAGGCAGGCGGAUCAGAAUUCCAAGGACUACACAGCAAGCUGGAGGCAGGCGAUCAGAAUUCCAAGGACUACACAGCAAGCUGGAGGCAGGCAAUCAGAAUUCCAAGGACUACACAGCAAGCUGGAGGCAGGCGAUCAGAAUUCCAAGGACUACACAGCAAGUUUGAGACUAGCCUGAGAUACAGGAGACCUAGUCUCAGGAGUUAAAAAAAUAAAAUAAAGACAAGCCUUGAAACCAA